GACGAACGCUGGCGGCGUGCCUAAUACAUGCAAGUCGAACGCUUCUUUUUCCACCGGAGCUUGCUCCACCGGAAAAAGAGGAGUGGCGAACGGGUGAGUAACACGUGGGUAACCUGCCCAUCAGAAGGGGAUAACACUUGGAAACAGGUGCUAAUACCGUAUAACAAUCAAAACCGCAUGGUUUUGAUUUGAAAGGCGCUUUCGGGUGUCGCUGAUGGAUGGACCCGCGGUGCAUUAGCUAGUUGGUGAGGUAACGGCUCACCAAGGCCACGAUGCAUAGCCGACCUGAGAGGGUGAUCGGCCACAUUGGGACUGAGACACGGCCCAAACUCCUACGGGAGGCAGCAGUAGGGAAUCUUCGGCAAUGGACGAAAGUCUGACCGAGCAACGCCGCGUGAGUGAAGAAGGUUUUCGGAUCGUAAAACUCUGUUGUUAGAGAAGAACAAGGAUGAGAGUAACUGUUCAUCCCUUGACGGUAUCUAACCAGAAAGCCACGGCUAACUACGUGCCAGCAGCCGCGGUAAUACGUAGGUGGCAAGCGUUGUCCGGAUUUAUUGGGCGUAAAGCGAGCGCAGGCGGUUUCUUAAGUCUGAUGUGAAAGCCCCCGGCUCAACCGGGGAGGGUCAUUGGAAACUGGGAGACUUGAGUGCAGAAGAGGAGAGUGGAAUUCCAUGUGUAGCGGUGAAAUGCGUAGAUAUAUGGAGGAACACCAGUGGCGAAGGCGGCUCUCUGGUCUGUAACUGACGCUGAGGCUCGAAAGCGUGGGGAGCAAACAGG
rnacentral:rRNA from 1 species